AAAGGCGGUUCGUGGAUUCGGAUCGUUGGCUCGUGGAUUCGAGUGGCGUCGUGGAUUCGGCGUGAUUGAAGCUUCGUGGAUUCGAAGUGGAGGCGUUCGUGGAUUCGAAUGUGAGGGCGUGGACAACCCGGAGGGUAGCGCGAAGAUUCAUAGGAGGUUAAGAGAGGUUGAGUCUGUGGAGUCGAUAAUCACCUUGUAAUCUUUUCUCUUAGUGAAUUAUUUUUUCGCGUGUUGGUCCCGUGGGUUUUUCUCCAAGUUGGAGUUUUCCCACGUAAAUCUCGGUGUGCUUUUUAUUUUUCGCAUUUAUUUUUAUUGCAUCGAGAUUUGUGGUUUUUGGCCGUUCACCUAUUCACCCCCGUCUAGGUGAUAGGUACAAUCUAGAUAGAUCCUUGGGCUCCUCAAAACUUUCAGACG
rnacentral:lncRNA from 1 species